UGGGGUAUGAAGUAAAUAAUAUAAUAAUUGAGGGAGCAAGUUUCCCACAGCCUAUAUUGCCUUGUUUGUUUGGCUUUCAAGGCCUGUGUUCUCUCUUGCCAGUUGCCACACAUCAUAGAUUUUGCAUGCAUGCCCUUGCCGUUUAACACUGAAGGCCUAGGAAUGAGAGAGAUUAUGGCAACUUACCCAGACAUCGCUUAUCUGCAUCAAUUGAGGCCAUAUAUAAAAGAAGAGUAAAUAAGAACAAAGUGAAAGAUGUUGAUGAGAAGCCUUUCCAUCUCCCAUUAGUCCAAGACCGCUCCUCAUGCUGCUG